UACGUAGGCAGCGAGCGUUGUUCGGAAUUACUGGGCGUAAAGAGUGUGUAGGCGGUGCUCUAAGUUCGGUGUGAAAUCUCCUGGCUUAACUGGGAGGGUGCGCCGGAAACUGGAGUGCUCGAGCGUGGGAGAGGAAAGCGGAAUUCCUGGUGUAGCGGUGAAAUGCGUAGAUAUGUCACAGAACACCAAUUGCGAAGGCAGCUUACUAAGCUAUGAUUGACGCUGAGGCACGAAAGCGUGGGGAUCAAACAGG
rnacentral:rRNA from 1 species